rnacentral:rRNA from 1 species
AUGGCUCAGGACGAACGCUGGCGGCGUGCCUAACACAUGCAAGUCGAACGGACUGAUUCCCUUCGGGGAUGAAAGUUAGUGGCGGACGGGUGAGUAACGCGUGAGCAACCUGCCUUCAGAGGGGGAUAACGUUCGGAAACGAACGCUAAUACCGCAUAACAUAUGGAAGUCGCAUGGCUAUCAUAUCAAAGGAGCAAUCCGCUGAAAGAUGGGCUCGCGUCUGAUUAGAUAGUUGGUGGGGUAACGGCCUACCAAGUCGACGAUCAGUAGCCGGACUGAGAGGUUGAUCGGCCACAUUGGGACUGAGACACGGCCCAGACUCCUGCGGGAGGCAGCAGUGGGGGAUAUUGCACAAUGGGCGCAAGCCUGAUGCAAGCAACGCCGCGUGAGUGAUGAAGGUCUUCGGAUUGUAAAACUCUGUCCUUGGUGACGAAACAAAUGACGGUAGCCGAGGAGGAAGCCACGGCUAACUACGUGCCAGCCGCGGC